AUUUAAUUCAACAUCGAGGUCAUAAACUUAAUUCUUAAUAAGAACUCUUAAAUUAAAUUAUGCUGUUAUCCCUAGAGUAACUAAAAACUUUUCAUAAUAAAAAUAAAAAUUUCUAUCUUCAUCUAAUUGCCCCAAUUAAAAAAUUCUCAUUUUAUAAAGCUUCUAGGGUCUUCUCGUCCCAAAGAAUAAUAAUAGCUUUUUUACUAUUAAAUUAAAUUCAAGUUUAUAAAAUAAAACAAUCCUCUUAGAUUCUACCUUUCAUUCCAGUCCUCAAUUAAAGAA
rnacentral:rRNA from 1 species